AAGCCUGGGUAAAGAAGGAGGGAGAAUGGGCAUCAAGGUGAGUUGUGUACUUUUCCUUCAUUUUCUGAGAGGGAUUUUUAAAAUGCUUUAUGGUUAAUUUCAAUGGCUUCUUCUACUAUCAUUUGAGGACCUCAAAGGCCCAACUAACUUGAGAUUUUUAUAUGCAAGCUGAUGUAUUUUUAGCCCCACAGAUCAAUGUUGCCACUACAAGGUUCAAUAUUGAGAUGUGAUUAUCAGAAACAGUGGGCCAUCAUUGAAAGAUUACCCCUUUUAUUGUGGAUCACCCCUGGACCAAAGACCUGGUACCUAUUGUUAACAUCUGGGCCAUGCUAAAGGGAGGUGGGCAACGGAAGACUGGUUAAACAAUAUCUUGGAGUCGUUCAUACACAGCUGCGUUACCAGGUGAAGUUUAAUAUUAUCUUGGCAAGCAUAUCAUUUUACCUAUAAUUUCAAAAAAUGCACUUGUGAUCGAAGUCUAUGUGAAUUCUGAUCUAACAAGGUAGGCUUGGCAUUUUGGGUGGCAUGCGGCUUCUGUUCUCUCCCAUUUCUAUUCUAACUCUCAAGGAAGUAGUAGCAUAUCUCACCUGUAUUUUGGAAUGCGCCUAUUGCAUCAAGCUUAGGAACUGGGAACCUUCAAACUACGUCCACAAACACCACUAAUUCUAACCAUUUCUGAUGAUAGUUUUUUUUCUUAGGCCCAUUAAAGUACUGUUUGAUUGGUUCAUGAAAUCAUUAAGCUCCUCAUGUACAUAUUUCAAAGCAUCGAUGUUGCUGGUCAGUAAAUUGUUACCAUUAAUCCAUCCAUGUAGCAUGUGUAUCUAAUUUGGGUUUUCAAAAUUGUGGGUCCCACUAGAUGAAAAGUCUGAACAUGCUCCAACCAAUCCAUCCAUCAAAUGGACAGCUAAAAGUAAUAGGAUCAAAGGUCCAAACUCAGUCAGCAAAAUAAAUAGUUAAGAUUGCCAAAUCAGUGUGAUUUGAGAAUGUGCUUCUCCACAAUGGGGCUGAGGAUCUGAAUGGUUGGUUUACGAUGGAUGAGUUUCCCUAGCCAUAGUUCUAAAACUUGCUGACUCAACUUGAAACUUGGUUGACUUAAGUCGACUCAGCAUGAUUUCGAGCCCAUUGGAAAAAUCAGUGAUGGGACUAACUCUGCCUAUACUUGGAGAGCCCCAUUGAGUUUACUCAAAUGGCUCAAAAAAUCCUGCAUUUGUUUACAUUAUUUCCAUUAAGACAUUGAUAUUUUUUGAGCUGCAGUGGUUGAUACAUGUAAAAAUACUGAUACUCUAAACACCAACUCUAAGACAUCCAACAGUACGGUUUCAUAUUGGAGUUAUUUAAUACUCUGGCAGUGGGUGAUGGUUGAUACACAGGCAAGUGAAAUUUGUACAUGUGGCAUGCAUCAAGCAUACAUGAACUCAAAUUAAAUAGCUUAAAUUAUGAAACCUACCAUAACUAACUCCAAAUCCCAAAAAAUAAGAUUGAUUGAACAAUAUUAGUGGAUGCUUCUUUGCUGAAACAGGACUGUUGGAAUUUUGUUUUUUGUUUUUCAUUUUUUUUUUGUUUUCAUUUCAACCGUUGCUAGAUGUGCACCAAUAUGAUGUUUUAGACAAGUAAAUACAAUUUUUAGUUCACAAUACAUCUAAACUUGGAGCCAUAAUUUGGCCAGUUCAGUUUGAAUUAAUUGUAUGCCAUGCGUACAAGUUCUCAAUGCAUGUGUAUCAUCCAUAAAACAGGGACAGAGUAUCAAUUUGGUGUAAUUUUUGUUGCAUUUUCAUGCACCGGUUAACUGAAUUGGGAACAUACAACUUAUUUGGUUAUGAUGAAGUUUCUUUUGGACACCAUCUCUCUGAUUUUGUUCCUAGUUUUUUCCCCAUAUUUUAUUGAAUGACAGAAUCCAUCUCAAUGUUUUAGGGGCAGCACUUGAGGAUAUUGCCGAAGAGGAGGAACAACCAGAAGAAGAGGAUGGGGAUAUUGGUGAAGAUGAUGAGAUGGCAGAUUUUAUUGUGGAUGAAGAAGAAGUUGAUGACAAUGGCGCUCCUGUGAGGAGGAGGAAACCAAGUAAAAAGAAGUCAAGGCAAGCACCUGGUGUGUCCAUAAUAAGCGCUUUCAGGAAGAAGCUCGAAGGAUUGACGAUGAGACGAGGCUUGCAUUGAAUCAACAACUUUUCAACUUUAUUCUUGAGUCUCUUAAGGUUGCCGAGUCUGAAAGAGAGGUUGAUGAUGUUGAUGCAAAUUUUAAUUUGCAUUUCCCUCCAUGUGAAGUGGAAGUGGAAGAAGGGCAGUUUAAGAGGCCAAAAUGAAAAUCUCUAUAUAGUAUUUGCAGUAAGGCUGGUCUAUGGGAGGUAGCAAACAAGAUGUGCUCAAAGGUGCUAGGCACAUGUCUUCGGUCUCCAAGUGCUAACGAGCAGCAGCAUAAGAAAAAUGACCAACAACAUCUAUUGAAGUUUAUGAUAGACCACUAGCCUCAUGUUGUCAUUUUGGGAGCAGUGAUUUUGAAUUGUAAACGUCUGAAGGAUGACAUCUAUGAGUGUGAAGUCCCCAUAGUAGAGGUCCGCUAUUGGUGAAUUUGGACCUCCCGUGGAUUCCAUGCCCAUGUCAAUAGUAGUUCAUUUACUAACUCUUACCAAGGCACAGCCUGUUGGGCUGAGAAGCUAAAGAAGUCAGUGGAGGAUGAAAUUCAUUUUCUCAAGGGAAAUGUUUCAGAACUUGAAAGUGAUCUUAUGUCGAAGUCCAUAAAAGUUACAUUUGCAAUUUCAACGAAAGAAGAAGCUCUAUCUUCUGCAUUUGCUGAAAUUGUUCUUCUGAAGGAAGAAAAUUCUAUAAAAACGUGAGCAUUAUUGAAUGCAUAUGGAGGGUGUUUACUGUGUUGGAGUGUAUUUGUUUCUUGCACAUGAGGGCACGCCUUAGUUGUAAUUCUUAUGAUAGGUUGAGCAAAGUGAAGUAUUGUUUAUUUAGAAAUGUGAAUGUAGGAUACAUUGUAUGAUUUGAUUGCUAUUUGUAAUAAAUGCAUCAUUUUUUUU